rnacentral:rRNA from 1 species
GAUGAACGCUAGCUACAGGCUUAACACAUGCAAGUCGAGGGGCAGCAUGGUCUUAGCUUGCUAAGGCCGAUGGCGACCGGCGCACGGGUGAGUAACACGUAUCCAACCUGCCGUCUACUCUUGGACAGCCUUCUGAAAGGAAGAUUAAUACAAGAUGGCAUCAUGAGUCCACAUGUUCACAUGAUUAAAGGUAUUCCGGUAGACGAUGGGGAUGCGUUCCAUUAGAUAGUAGGCGGGGUAACGGCCCACCUAGUCUUCGAUGGAUAGGGGUUCUGAGAGGAAGGUCCCCCACAUUGGAACUGAGACACGGUCCAAACUCCUACGGGAGGCAGCAGUGAGGAAUAUUGGUCAAUGGGCGAGAGCCUGAACCAGCCAAGUAGCGUGAAGGAUGACUGCCCUAUGGGUUGUAAACUUCUUUUAUAAAGGAAUAAAGUCGGGUAUGCAUACCCGUUUGCAUGUACUUUAUGAAUAAGGAUCGGCUAACUCCGUGCCAGCAGCCGCGGUAAUACGGAGGAUCCGAGCGUUAUCCGGAUUUAUUGGGUUUAAAGGGAGCGUAGAUGGAUGUUUAAGUCAGUUGUGAAAGUUUGCGGCUCAACCGUAAAAUUGCAGUUGAUACUGGAUAUCUUGAGUGCAGUUGAGGCAGGCGGAAUUCGUGGUGUAGCGGUGAAAUGCUUAGAUAUCACGAAGAACUCCGAUUGCGAAGGCAGCCUGCUAAGCUGCAACUGACAUUGAGGCUCGAAAGUGUGGGUAUCAAACAGGAUUAGAUACCCUGGUAGUCCACACGGUAAACGAUGAAUACUCGCUGUUUGCGAUAUACAGCAAGCGGCCAAGCGAAAGCGUUAAGUAUUCCACCUGGGGAGUACGCCGGCAACGGUGAAACUCAAAGGAAUUGACGGGGGCCCGCACAAGCGGAGGAACAUGUGGUUUAAUUCGAUGAUACGCGAGGAACCUUACCCGGGCUUAAAUUGCAGAUGAAUUACGGUGAAAGCCGUAAGCCGCAAGGCAUCUGUGAAGGUGCUGCAUGGUUGUCGUCAGCUCGUGCCGUGAGGUGUCGGCUUAAGUGCCAUAACGAGCGCAACCCUUGUUGUCAGUUACUAACAGAUCAUGCUGAGGACUCUGACAAGACUGCCAUCGUAAGAUGUGAGGAAGGUGGGGAUGACGUCAAAUCAGCACGGCCCUUACGUCCGGGGCUACACACGUGUUACAAUGGGGGGUACAGAGGGCCGCUACCACGCGAGUGGAUGCCAAUCCCAAAAACCUCUCUCAGUUCGGACUGGAGUCUGCAACCCGACUCCACGAAGCUGGAUUCGCUAGUAAUCGCGCAUCAGCCACGGCGCGGUGAAUACGUUCCCGGGCCUUGUACACACCGCCCGUCAAGCCAUGGGAGCCGGGGGUACCUGAAGUGCGUAACCGCGAGGAGCGCCCUAGGGUAAAAC